UUCAGAUAGGUUUGAGAGGCUUUUACCCUUUGGCUCGGUUCCAGCUUAUUAAAUAUAUUUUAUUUAUUAUUUUGUAAUCUCCCUAGGGUUUUUGCAAGUGAUUAAUUAUUUGAAUUCUAUUUUUCCCAAGUGUAGGAAGAAAGUACGUAUCUAGAGAGUAAGGCAAACAAUGCCUCAUGGGACAGGUGCCACGACAUGCCGCAAGAA
rnacentral:lncRNA from 1 species